AACCCCACGCUAAGCGUGGGGUUCCGUAAAGCUUAAAGCUAUGAGAGAGAAAACCUCCGUUUGCUAAAAUAAAUUUGCGGACUGACAAACUGCAAAAAAGAAGCAAAGGG
rnacentral:sRNA from 1 species